rnacentral:rRNA from 1 species
UGCGUAGGCGGUUUGAUAAGUCUGGUGUGAAAUCUAUGGGCUCAACCCAUAGUCUGCACUAGAAACUGUCGGGCUUGAGUAUGGGAGAGGUGAGUGGAAUUUCCGGUGUAGCGGUGAAAUGCGUAGAUAUCGGAAGGAACACCUGUGGCGAAAGCGGCUCACUGGACCAUAACUGACGCUGAUGCACGAAAGCUAGGGGAGCAAACAGGAUUAGAUACCCUGGUAGUCCUAGCCCUAAACGAUGAUUGCUUGGUGUGGCAGGUACCCAAUCCUGCCGUGCCGAAGCUAACGCGAUAAGCAAUCCGCCUGGGGAGUACGGUCGCAAGGCUGAA